rnacentral:rRNA from 1 species
GAUUAACGCUAGCGGCAGGCAUAAUACAUGCAAGUUGAACGGGAUUGGUUUAGCAAUAGACCAUGAGAGUAGCGCACGGGUGCGUAACACGUAUGCAACCUGCCCCUGACUGGAGAAUAGCCUCUCGAAAGAGAGAUUAAUGUUCCAUAACAUAUAGUAUAAGCAUUUAUAUUAUAUCAAAGCUCCGGCGGUCAGGGAUGGGCAUGCGGCUGAUUAGGUAGUUGGUGGGGUAAUGGCUCACCAAGCCGACGAUCAGUA